rnacentral:tRNA from 1 species
GGAUAUAGCUCAGUGGUAGAGUGCUUGCCUGGCAUGCAUGAGGCCCUAGAUUCAAUACCCAGUACCA